GAGACUCUGUGCGCGUGCAUAUCAAUAAGCGGAGGAAAAGAAACUAACAAGGAUUCCCUUAGUAACGGCGAGUGAAGCGGGAAGAACUCAAAUUUGAAAUCUUCAAGGUUCUACCUUGACGAAUUGUAGUUUAUAGAAGUGUUUUCUGUUAGUAGAGUGGCAAAAGUUCUUUGGAAUAGGACAUCAUAGAGGGUGAGAAUCCCGUAUUUGGUCAUUCUUUCUAGCUUUGUGAUACACUUUCAACGAGUCGGAUUGUUUGGGAAUGCAGUCCAAAAUGGGUGGUAAAUUUCAUCUAAAGCUAAAUAUUGGCGAGAGACCGAUAGCGAACAAGUACCGUGAGGGAAAGAUGAAAAGAACUUUGAAAAGAGAGUUAAGCAGUACGUGAAAUUGUCAAAAGGGAAGCGUUUGACACUAGUGUUGUUUUUCCGAAAAUCAAUUAGAAUAGUUUUCGAUUUUGAGUAAGUAUUGACCUUCAUCAGGCUUGCUUCUUUUUCUACGAAAUUAUUUAAUGCACUUUUCAGGUUAACAAGUCAACAUCAAUUUCUUUUGUUGUAAAAGGGUAAGAGGAAGGUGGCUUUCUCUUCGGCGCAAGUGUUUAUAGCCUUGUACCUCUGCAAUCGGAGAGAUUGAGGUCUGCAGCGUAGAUCCUUCGGGGUUAGAUACAUUGGUGCUAAGCUAUAGCCUUGUAUAGACAACUUGUUGACUAUGCUCAGUCAUGUAGCUUACUCGCUGAUGCUAUUUUACCUACGCUUAGGAUGUUGACGAUCAGCUGAGCGCG
rnacentral:rRNA from 1 species